rnacentral:rRNA from 1 species
AUGUCCGGAUCCGGCUCUCAGGGCAAGUGGGUGGCCUCCUCCAUGACGGAGAAGGACAUCAAGGAGCUCCGGGGGGCGGGGUACCUGAGCGCGGACGUUGUGCACAGGAUCCCUGCCAAGAAACAGGUCAUCCCCACCCCGGAGCCCGGCGAAAGGGUGGUUUUUAUCCCCCACUUCCUCUGCGGACUAGGGUUUCCCCUCCAUCCCUUUGUCCGCGGCCUCAUGUUCUAUUACGGGCUAGAUUUCCAUGAUCUAGCCCCGAAUUCCUUUCUCCACAUCUCGGUGUUCAUCGUCGUGUGCGAGGCGCUCCUCCGCAUACCCCCACACUUCGGCUUAUGGCUCAAGGUCUUCAAAGUGAAGCCGAAGGUGGUCGAUGGGCAGCAUGCGGACUGCGGCGACGCCAUGGCGAGCAAGCUCCCCAACGUUACCUGGCCCAAAGGGGUCUUUGUGGAGACGGUCAAGAUAUGGCAGCAGGAGUGGUUCUACAUCACCGAACCUCGUGGCGCCAACUGGGCGGCCACUCCUGAAUUUAGGUCCGGACCCCCAAUGCGGCUCGAGUCGUGGACCAACAAGGGUUUGGACUGGGGGUCAACUGACGAAGUGAUGCUGCUGCAAAAGCGCAUAAAAAAAUUAUUGAAAAGAACACCAACCUCACCGACGUGA